rnacentral:rRNA from 1 species
UAGGGAAUCUUCGGCAAUGGGGGCAACCCUGACCGAGCAACGCCGCGUGAGUGAAGAAGGUUUUCGGAUCGUAAAGCUCUGUUGUAAGUCAAGAACGAGUGUGAGAGUGGAAAGUUCACACUGUGACGGUAGCUUACCAGAAAGGGACGGCUAACUACGUGCCAGCAGCCGCGGUAAUACGUAGGUCCCGAGCGUUGUCCGGAUUUAUUGGGCGUAAAGCGAGCGCAGGCGGUUUGAUAAGUCUGAAGUUAAAGGCUGUGGCUCAACCAUAGUUCGCUUUGGAAACUGUCAAACUUGAGUGCAGAAGGGGAGAGUGGAAUUCCAUGUGUAGCGGUGAAAUGCGUAGAUAUAUGGAGGAACACCGGUGGCGAAAGCGGCUCUCUGGUCUGUAACUGACGCUGAGGCUCGAAAGCGUGGGGAGCGAACAGGAUUAGAUACCCUGGUAGUCCACGCCGUNNNGAUGAGUGCUAGGUGUUGGAUCCUUUCCGGGAUUCAGUGNCGCAGCUAANNCANUAANCACUCCGCCUGGGGANUACNACCGCANGGUUG